GUCCUCUUGAAUUUAAUUUGAGGUUUGACCUGCCCACUGAAAUUUUAAAUGGCCGCAGUAUUUUGACUGUGCAAAGGUAGCAUAAUCAUUAGUUUUUUAAUUAAAAGCUUGUAUGAAGGGUUGGACGAGGUAAAAUCUGUCUCUAUAAAAUUUAUAUUAGAAUUUAAUUUUUAAGUUAAAAAGCUUAAAUAUAAUUAAAAGACGAGAAGACCCUAUAGAUCUUUAUAUUAUUUAAUUUAAUUUUAUUAUAGAAUUUUUAAUUUAUUAAUUUAAAUAAUAUUUUAUUGGGGUAAUAAAAAGAUUAAAUAAAUUCUUUUAAAAUUAUACAUUGAUUUAUGAUUAAUUGAUCCAAUUUUUUUGAUUGUAAGAUUAAGUUACCUUAGGGAUAACAGCGUAAUUUUUUUGGAGAGUUCUUAUCGAUAAAAAAGUUUGCGA
rnacentral:rRNA from 1 species